GUUUUAUCCAAAAGAAGAUCAAAGACUGUCUCUAUGUUUGUUUUUGUAUUUUUAAUUAAAAUUAUUUAGAUGUUUUAAGACAUUUUCAGGUACAGAUUACAAUCUAGCAGCCAUGGAACUAAGAUGCAUUAAUAUUCUUCUGAUUCUUUAGAUAACUUUUCAUGCUCAGAAAUUGUUUAAUUAUCUCUAACUUCCCUUAACCCUUAGCUUGAAGAAGUGCUUUACAUGUGAAGAGUGUGUCCUCAUUUUUCAUUUUAUAAAAACUGCAGAUUUCAAUAGAAAUUGGCACAUUUAUAAACAUUUAUGAUUUAACCUUGUUGCACCCCCCCUGACUGUCAAUCAGACAACCAGUCCAGUUACUUCCUGGGUGUUUACAUCAGUGGAGCUAAACUCAAGAGGCAGUAAUUGCUCAGAGCCAGUGGCAGAACUACUGCGGUGGCAGGGGUCGCAGCUAUGAAUGGGCCAAUCACUCCAUGUGUUGCGGCCCCGGCCUGCGCUUAAUAACCACUGGGGCCACAUGUUACGGGUCCCUAUCGGGUGGCCCAUGCUGUUAGGGCCACCUGAUGGAAAUUCAUUUUCAGUGGGCCAGGUCAGAGCAUAGGAAGGAAGUCAGUGGCGUACACACAAUCCAUGGGGCCCCGAUGCGAAACUUAUCUGUG